rnacentral:miRNA from 1 species
CCAAUGGAUUUUAGUUAUAUAUAAAAAAAAUGGAUCUGAUGGAUCCAAUGGGGAUCCAUUGGAUCCAUCAGAUCCAUCGGAUCCAUUUUUUUUUAUAUAACUAAAAUCCAUUGGAU